rnacentral:lncRNA from 1 species
GCCAAAUGACAUAUUCUACUUUACGAUCUCUUCAGCAAGCUGUGGUCAAAGAAAAUAUCAUUGCAAUAAUAGGUAAGGACAGAAUUUGGAAGUGAAAUGUGCAAGAGCAAAUUGGUCCAUGGUAUGGCUGGCAAAUUUCAAUCAGGAAUGCCAAAAAUUGUGCCAAGAAGUAUGUAUUGGUUCUUUCAAGAAACAAGAUUAGCUGCACAGAGAAUCAGGUUGAUGACUCCAUAUACAGAUGAGGACAUACAAAUAAUAAAAAAUGGCUAUGGAAGAACAUGCUGGGAAGUGAGUUUCUGUCGAUAAAUUUAUAAGAACUUGACAUUGCUUGUCGAAAAUUGUAAUGUUGCAUUAUAAGAACUUGACAUUGAUU